CUUUGGCAGUUUAUGUUCACAAUGUUUCUUUUUUCUUACAGUGUAAUCUGAAGUUGAUCUGGAUAUGGCGGUUUCUCAUCUGAGUGUGCCUGCUACAGUUGGAUUUGUUUGGUGCUCGACCUCACCAAAGAAAGAGGAAGUGGUUUUAUAGUGCUGUUAUUUUGCUCUGAUUGGUUGUUUUGAAAAGUUAUGUUAACUAUUUCUUUGCUGUUGGAGGUUUUCAGUAAAGAAG
rnacentral:lncRNA from 1 species